rnacentral:rRNA from 1 species
AGUGAACGCUGGCGGUAGGCCUAACACAUGCAAGUCGAACGGCAACACGGUAAGAGGUUGCUCUUACGGGCGGCGGGUGGAGGACGGGUGCGGAAUACAUCGGAAUCUACUUUUUCGUGGGGGAUAACGUAGGGAAACUUACGCUACUACCGCAUAAGAACUACGGGGGAACGCAGGGGAUCUUCGGACCUUGCGCGAUUGAAUGAGCCGAUGUCGGAUUAGCUAGUUGGCGGGGUAAAGGCCCACCAAGGCGACGAUCCGUAGCUGGUCUGAGAGGAUGAUCAGCCACACUGGAACUGAGACACGGCCCAGACUCCUACGGGAGGCAGCAGUGGGGAAUAUUGGACAAUGGGCGCAAGCCUGAUCCAGCCAUACCGCGUGGGUGAAGAAGGCCUUCGGGUUGUAAAGUCCUUUUGUUGGGAAAGAAAAGCAGCAGUUUAAUACCCCGCUGUUCUGACGGUACCCAAAGAAUAAGCACCGGCUAACUUCGUG